rnacentral:rRNA from 1 species
UACGUAGGCAGCAAGCGUUGUUCGGAAUUACUGGGCGUAAAGAGUGUGUAGGCGGUUUUCUAAGUUUGGUGUGAAAUCUCCCGGCUUAACUGGGAGGGUGCGCCGAAAACUGGAAGGCUUGAGUGCCGGAGAGGAUAGCGGAAUCCCGGUGUAGCGGUGAAAUGCGUAGAUAUCGGGGAGGAACACCUGUGGUGUAGACGGCUAUCUGGACGGCGACUGACGCUGAGGCGCGAAAGCUAGGGGAGCAAACGGG